UUCUUAGACCUGUGCAACACUUGUUUUAAACAUCGCUUCAGGGUAGGAAUACAGCAGAGCACUUAUUACUUGCGUGUGCCGCAGCCAUCUGGGAAGAG
rnacentral:SRP_RNA from 1 species